GACGAACGCUGGCGGCGUGCUUAACACAUGCAAGUCGAACGGUGAAGCUCCAGCUUGCUGGAGUGGAUCAGUGGCGAACGGGUGAGUAACACGUGAGCAACCUGCCCCUGACUCUGGAAUAAGCGCUGGAAACGGCGUCUAAUACUGGAUACGAGAAGGGUCCGCAUGGGCACUUUCUGGAAAGUUUUUCGGUUGGGGAUGGGCUCGCGGCCUAUCAGCUUGUUGGUGAGGUAAUGGCUCACCAAGGCGACGACGGGUAGCCGGCCUGAGAGGGCGACCGGCCACACUGGGCCUGAGACACGGCCCAGACUCCUACGGGAGGCAGCAGUGGGGAAUAUUGCACAAUGGGCGCAAGCCUGAUGCAGCGACGCCGCGUGAGGGAUGACGGCCUUCGGGUUGUAAACCUCUUUCAGCAGGGAAGAAGCGAAAGUGACGGUACCUGCAGAAGAAGCACCGGCUAACUACGUG
rnacentral:rRNA from 1 species